rnacentral:rRNA from 1 species
UGGAACGAGCGGCGGACGGGUGAGUAACACGUGGGCAACCUGCCUGUAAGACCGGAAUAACCCCGGGAAACCGGGGCUAAUGCCGGGUAAUACUUUUCUUCGCAUGAAGGAAAGUUGAAAGAUGGCUUCUUGCUAUCACUUACAGAUGGGCCCGCGGCGCAUUAGCUAGUUGGUGAGGUAACGGCUCACCAAGGCGACGAUGCGUAGCCGACCUGAGAGGGUGAUCGGCCACACUGGGACUGAGACACGGCCCAGACUCCUACGGGAGGCAGCAGUAGGGAAUCUUCCGCAAUGGACGAAAGUCUGACGGAGCAACGCCGCGUGAACGAUGAAGGUCUUCGGAUCGUAAAGUUCUGUUGUUAGGGAAGAACAAGUACCGUGCGAAUAGAGCGGUACCUUGACGGUACCUAACGAGGAAGCCCCGGCUAACUACGUGCCAGCAGCCGCGGUAAUACGUAGGGGGCAAGCGUUGUCCGGAAUUAUUGGGCGUAAAGCGCGCGCAGGCGGUUCCUUAAGUCUGAUGUGAAAGCCCACGGCUCAACCGUGGAGGGUCAUUGGAAACUGGGGAACUUGAGGACAGAAGAGGAGAGUGGAAUUCCACGUGUAGCGGUGAAAUGCGUAGAUAUGUGGAGGAACACCAGUGGCGAAGGCGACUCUCUGGUCUGUUUCUGACGCUGAGGUGCGAAAGCGUGGGUAGCAAACAGGAUUAGAUACCCUGGUAGUCCACGCCGUAAACGAUG